rnacentral:rRNA from 1 species
CCUACGGGAGGCUGCAGUGGGGAAUAUUGGACAAUGGGCGAAAGCCUGAUCCAGCCAUGCCGCGUGUGUGAAGAAGGCCUUCGGGUUGUAAAGCACUUUCAGUGGGGAAGAAAGCCUUGGGGCUAAUACCCUCGAGGAAGGACAUCACCCACAGAAGAAGCACCGGCUAACUCCGUGCCAGCAGCCGCGGUAAUACGGAGGGUGCGAGCGUUAAUCGGAAUUACUGGGCGUAAAGCGCGCGUAGGCGGUCUGAUAAGCCGGUUGUGAAAGCCCCGGGCUCAACCUGGGAACGGCAUCCGGAACUGUCAGGCUAGAGUGCAGGAGAGGAAGGUAGAAUUCCCGGUGUAGCGGUGAAAUGCGUAGAGAUCGGGAGGAAUACCAGUGGCGAAGGCGGCCUUCUGGACUGACACUGACGCUGAGGUGCGAAAGCGUGGGUAGCAAACAGGAUUAGAUACCCUAGUAGU